rnacentral:lncRNA from 1 species
GGCUUCGGUGAGGCCGCUAUUGGGCUUGGCGGCGGGGUAGAGGACGCUGACGACAAGGUCAUCUUCCUUGUGGUUGGCCACGCGUUCACUGUGUUUGGGGAGCUCCUCCCCUUCUUUAGGCCGACGAGCGACGUGGAGGCGGCCUGGGUCAGCGUGCUAGGGAGUGGCGGCAGGGUAGAAGGCGCUGGCGGCAGGGUUGUCUUCCAUGCCGUCGGCCAGGCUAACCCUGUUUGGGGAGCUCCUCCCCUUCUCUGUGGGAAGCUUCUUGGCAGGCUAGAGGCGGUGGUCGAAUUCGACAGGGAAGCCGGCGGGCGGCGCGGUGGAGGCGGCCUAGGUCAGCGCGCUGGCAAAGGUGAUGGGUGUUGUGGAAGUCUUGUCGUUGGCAGGACUGGAAGCCGGCUGACGGAGGGGCGUCGAUCGAGUGUGGCAGAAGCCAUGCGUGGUAACCCUCCUAAGGGAAUUGUUGAGCAGUUGAGGUACCCCUCCUCCCUCCGCAAGGAGCUCUGGGUGAAAACCUUGUCCCUUUUUGGGACGGAUGAUGAUGGCGUCUCGCGUUGCAACCCUCGCGAGGGCGUCGUUUUAGAGUCUUUGCGCCGAGGUGGUGUUGUUGGCCCGAUGGCGAUCGGUCUCGCAUAG